rnacentral:piRNA from 1 species
UGUUUAGUCACUGCACCUUCUUUGAGCCC